GGUGACUCAAUGGUAGAGUGCUUGCCUGCAUGCAAGAGGCCCUGGGUUCAAUUCCUCAGCACCA
rnacentral:tRNA from 1 species